GCCGGUGUAGCUUAGUCGGGAAAGCGUUUCCUUGGUAAGGAAAAGAGCGCGAGUUCAAAUCUCGCCACUGGCU
rnacentral:tRNA from 1 species